CCUACGGGCGGCAGCAGUGGGGGAUAUUGCACAAUGGGGGAAACCCUGAUGCAGCGACGCCGCGUGGGUGAAGAAGUAUUUCGGUAUGUAAAGCCCUAUCAGCAGGGAAGAAAGAAGACGGUACCUGACUAAGAAGCCCCGGCUAACUACGUGCCAGCAGCCGCGGUAAUACGUAGGGGGCGAGCGUUAUCCGGAUUCACUGGGUGUAAAGGGAGCGUAGACGGCCGUACAAGCCAGGAGUGAAAGCCCGGGGCCCAACCCCGGGACUGCUCUUGGAACUGUGCGGCUGGAGUGCGGGAGGGGCAGGCGGAAUGCCUGGUGUAGCGGUGAAAUGCGUAGAUAUCAGGAGGAACACCGGCGGCGAAGGCGGCCUGCUGGACCGCGACUGACGUUGAGGCUCGAAAGCGUGGGGAGCGAACAGGAUUAGAUACCCCUGUAGUC
rnacentral:rRNA from 1 species